GUCAUUUCCAGCCUUGCUGACUCCCUGAGUCCUGUUUCUUAGCUCCAGAAUUCCACUGUCUCCUUCCCAAGGUUCAACAGGUAUUUGUCGACGGGGUGUAACGCCUCUCAUGCACGAAGAAGACAUUUGGGAAUUGGGAUGGAUUUUAUUGACAUGAUUGGUGACAGGGUGACAAUGGUGACAAACCCCUUAUGCUUGUGCAGACCCAAUGGUGUCCCGAUGAAGGGCCGCAGUGUGUUCUGGGGUCAGAAAAGAGCGGGCUUAGGUGGACGGAUGCCAAGGGCAGUCGCCAGCUCUCCAGGCAGGACCCAGUGAAGGAUGUCCUUCUGCAGCACAAACAGGGUGAAGAAGAUAAGCUGCAGCAGGCCCAAGAACAGCAGAAGCGCCCUGCGGAACAGAAGAAGGUCCAGUCAGAUUCCGGGGGCACGUUUGUCACAGCACUUUCCAUCCAGCCCUGGCAAAUGGCCCGUGGACAUGUGCCAUACAGGGAGCAAGGGAAUCUGUCGUAGGUCUGCGCAGGGCUGCCAAGAUCGCCACCCCACCUGCUCUCCCACCCAGGACCCUAAGCAAUAGUGAAGCAUUUUAUCUCCAAACAGUCAAAAGCUGCCUGAUGGUCUCUGGACCCCAGGGCGACUCACCGCAGCCAGGAAGUUACAAGUGGGUGCUUCUGUGCUGCCGCCUGCUCAUCCUAGAGGACAAAGCAAAGCAGGGCCACGCGUUGGGGUGAGCGCAGGUUUGGGCACUCGGAAGCCCUCCUUCGUCCCCACAACCAGAGGGAGGCCCAUAUCCCCUGCGGUGGCCCGGAGGUGAGCCUUCCCUCCCCAAGGCCCCGGUGGGGCUUUCUCUCUUACCAAUCGCACAGCCACUGUCUCCUGCAGCAGGGAACUCAUGUGCGCUUCCCUGCGUGUCAUCUUCCUCCUGCUACAGACAGGGGAGUUUGGUGUGUGAGAAGAGGCCUCGGCCGGCACCAGGACCUCACCCCCUCCCCACGCCCCCC
rnacentral:lncRNA from 1 species